rnacentral:rRNA from 1 species
AUUGAACGCUGGCGGCGUGCCUAACACAUGCAAGUCGAGCGGUAACAGGUGUAGCAAUACAUGCUGACGAGCGGCGGACGGGUGAGUAACGCUUGGGAAUCUGCCUAUUAGUGGGGGACAACCCGGGGAAACUCGGGCUAAUACCGCAUACGCUCUACGGAGGAAAGCCGGGGACCGCAAGGCCUGGCGCUAAUAGAUGAGCCCAAGUCGGAUUAGCUAGUUGGUAGGGUAAUGGCCUACCAAGGCGACGAUCCGUAACUGGUCUGAGAGGACGACCAGUCACACCGGAACUGAGACACGGUCCGGACUCCUACGGGAGGCAGCAGUGGGGAAUAUUGGACAAUGGGCGAAAGCCUGAUCCAGCGACGCCGCGUGGGUGAAGAAGGCCUGCGGGUUGUAAAGCCCUUUCAGUGGGGAAGAAAAGCCUCGACCUAACACGUCGGGGUCUUGACGUAACCCAUAGAAGAAGCACCGGGCUAACUCUGUGCCAGCAGCCGCCGUAAU